ensembl:lincRNA
CAUGCAACUCUUCUUAUUUCAAUGGCCUCUCUUUCUUAUACAUAUAUCUUCUAUUAUGUCCAUCUGUAUUUCUUGCUCAGUAUUCUGAGGAUGCAAAGGGAAAAAAUUUAUUCUCUCCUUUAUAAACUGGUCUUGAGUUUUGAAGGAAAAAAAGCAUCUCCCUCUAUGAUAUUUUAAUCUUUCAACAUAAACAUUCCCUGUUUCUUUAUUGGAAGUAAUCAGACCAACCAGAAGAAAGCAUAGCCUUUGAAUUUAGAAAGUGCCAGUGUUCUAAACUCUUCUCUUCCACCUGAACACUAAUGACCUGGAAUUCUCUACUUAGUGUUGGUGAGCCUCAUCUUUCACAUUUUAAGAUAAUGGAAAUAAUGACUACAUAACAGGAUUAUUGUGAGAAAUAAAGAAGGCAAGUAUGAAGACUUCUCCAUGGCCAACAAUCAUCUCCCUCAAGCCUCAAACCUUUUCCACUCUGGAGGAAAGACUAGAUACUACAAGUUCUCUGAGAAAGAAGAAUGCACCUCCCUUGUUAUUACUUCCCCUUAGAGUGCCAAGUACCUGCCCAACAUAUUAUAGGCAAUUCAGCCAAUGAGUUUUCGAGGUCAUUGUCCCAGUGAAACACACAUCACAUGGAACUAGUCAUCUGUGGAAAAUUCUUGUGGAGUUGCUUCCUUGGGAAGGUGAUUAUGGACAGACUUGAGGACAGAUAGAGCAAAGCCAGCUCAAAAACAUUCAAGGAUCUUCACCUGACCGUUCCCAGUGCUUCACCCUUGUUAGUCUUUAAACAAACCAUGUCCAGUGACAUCCCAAUGACCUGAGCCACAGUCCUUGUCUUCAUUCUUUUGUCAUUGCAACAUACUCCUGAAAUCGCCACCUUCUACCUAAUCGCUUUGCUCCGAGCUCUACUUACCAUCUCUUUUCCAGCAGUCAUUACAUUUAAAAAUCUUGUUUCUAAGGCCUGAGUCAGGUACCUCCACUUCAUGAAGAAUUCCACAGUCAUUUUCAUUCAUCAUUCCUCCCAUUCCUGCCCAGUGCCCCCAAGGGGAAAUAAUUUCACCUUUAGCAAGUGAUUCAGCAGUAUUUAUUUCUGUAUCUAUUUUAUUUUUUGAGACAGGGUCUCACUCUGUUGCCCAGACUGGAGUGCAGUGGCACAAUCUCAGCUCACUCCAACCUCUGCCUCCCAGGCUGAAGUGAUUCUCCUGCCUCAGUCUCUGGAGUGGCUAGAAUUACAGGCACACGCCACUACUGCUGAGCUAAUUUUUGUGUUUUCAGUAGAGAGGGGUUUCACCAUGUUGGUCAGACUGGUCUUGAAUUCCUGACCUCAAAUGAUCCACUCGCCUCAGCCUCCCAAAGUGCUGGGAUUACAGGCGUGAGUCACCAUGCCUGGCCCUGUAUGUAUUUUGAAUAUUUCAGUGAUACACAUCAGUCUAGCUCCUUAUAUAUAGUUAAUUGUAAGUGGAAACUUGUCCAAAAACAUGAGUGUUGGGUUGAAAUCAAUAUUUUAUAUGUACUAGAUUGACCAGCCUCUUUGUACCCACCACUGUUCCCUUGUACCCACCACUCAACAAUUCCCUUUUUAUAAUAUAAGCAAAGAAUAGGAUAUUAAUGCAAACGAUGACAAUAAACCAGUUUGGAAACUGCCUUAAACCAUUUCUCAAGUUGUUUUCUACACAUAUGUAUUCAGUUCAUAUAUAGGUGUUAUGCUUUAAAAGUUUAAUAUAUUCUGCUCUUACAGGUUACUUUGCACAUGAUAGGAACAGCAUGUAUCAUCCAUCCAUUUUAUUUAACAACUGUGUGCUUCCAAAAUAAAAAGAUAGUUUUUCUUACUGAGUCCUGAGUUUACAGCCUAAAGUUAUUAUCUGAAUAUAAAUUUAUAGGGAGAAGUCUUCUGUGGAGAGUAUAUAUCUACUUUUAUUUAAAAAUCUUUGCAGAUUGAAAAUGGCUUUUAUAAUUUGUAACUUGUGUUAUUUGUUUACAUUUACUUAUUUUUUUCUAACUUUGGGAGGGG